GCGUCGAUAGCUCAGUUGGUUAGAGCACUGCGUUUACACCGCAGGUGUCGGGGGUUCGAGUCCCUCUCGACGCACCA
rnacentral:tRNA from 1 species